rnacentral:tRNA from 1 species
UAAUGCUUAAGUAGUUUAAAUUAAAAUUAUGAUUUGUGGUAUCAUAGAUAUAAAAUAUUAUCUUAAGCU